UACGGAAGGCAGCAGUGGGGAAUAUUGCACAAUGGGCGCAAGCCUGAUGCAGCCAUGCCGCGUGUAUGAAAAAGGCCUUCGGGUUGUAAAGUACUUUCAGUCGUGAGGAAGGUGUUAAGGUUAAUAACCUUAGCAAUUGACGUUAGCGACAGAAGAAGCACCGGCUAACUCCGUGCCAGCAGCCGCGGUAAUACGGAGGGUGCGAGCGUUAAUCGGAAUUACUGGGCGUUAAAGGGCACGCAGGCGGUUAAUUAAGUUGGAUGUGAAAUCCCCGGGCUUAACCUGGGAAUGGCAUUCAAGACUGGUUAGCUAGAGUCUUGUAGAGGGGGUUAGAAUUCCAUGUGUAGCGGUGAAAUGCGUAGAGAUGUGGAGGAAUACCGGUGGCGAAGGCGGCCCCUGGACAAAGACUGACGCUCAUGUGCGAAAGCUGGGGAGCAAACAGGGAUUAGAUACC
rnacentral:rRNA from 1 species